rnacentral:rRNA from 1 species
GAUGAACGCUGGCGGCGUGCUUAACACAUGCAAGUCGAACGGUGAAGGCGGAGCUUGCUCUGCUGGAUCAGUGGCGAACGGGUGAGUAACACGUGAGCAAUCUGCCCCUGACUCUGGGAUAAGCGCUGGAAACGGCGUCUAAUACUGGAUACGAGCUGCGAAGGCAUCUUCAGCAGCUGGAAAGAACUUCGGUCAGGGAUGAGCUCGCGGCCUAUCAGCUUGUUGGUGAGGUAACGGCUCACCAAGGCGUCGACGGGUAGCCGGCCUGAGAGGGUGACCGGCCACACUGGUACUGAGACACGGCCCAGACUCCUACGGGAGGCAGCAGUGGGGAAUAUUGCACAAUGGGCGAAAGCCUGAUGCAGCAACGCCGCGUGAGGGACGACGGCCUUCGGGUUGUAAACCUCUUUUAGCAGGGAAGAAGCGAAAGUGACGGUACCUGCAGAAAAAGCGCCGGCUAACUACGUG